rnacentral:misc_RNA from 1 species
GAACGCACCUUGCACUCCUUGGUAUUCCGAGGAGUAUGCCUGUUUGAGUGUCAUUAAAUUCUCAAUCCUCUCAAACUUGUUUUGUAGAGGCUUUGGAUUUUGGUGUGUUGCUGGCCUUUCAAAGUCGGCUCCUCUUAAAUGUAUUAGCUUGUAUAUUUUUGCAGAUAAGCUUUAGUUUGAUAAAUAUCUAUCUAAUUGCUUUGAAGCAAAUGUCAGCUUCCAAUUGUUGUUUUACAACACUUUCUUGACAUUUUUGACCUCAAAUCAGGUAGGACUACCCGCGGAACUUA